UACGUAGGGGGCAAGCGUUGUCCGGAUUUAUUGGGCGUAAAGAGCGUGUAGGCGGCCAUACAGGUCAGCUGUGAAAACUCGAGGCUCAACCUCGAGACGUCGGUUGAAACCGUAUGGCUAGAGUCCGGAAGAGGAGAGUGGAAUUCCCGGUGUAGCGGUGAAAUGCGCAGAUAUCGGGAGGAACACCUAUGGCGAAGGCAGCUCGCUGGGACGUUACUGACGCUGAGACGCGAAAGCGUGGGGAGCAAACAGG
rnacentral:rRNA from 1 species